rnacentral:lncRNA from 1 species
GGGGGCAUGUAGGGGUGGUAAUCGCGCGGUGGGUACGUGGCACAGCACAAGCACAGGCUCACGCAUCCACACAUACACACACAGCAAUUCCAUACACACACACACACACCUCACACCCCAAAGCAGGCGUAAACAUUUCACGUUUGUUCUUUCCUUUGCGCUUCCCCCCGCCUCCUCCCCCGCCUCCUCCCCCGCNNNNNNNNNNNNNNNNNNNNNNNNNNNNNNNNNNNNNNNNNNNNNNNNNNNNNNNNNNNNNNNNNNNNNNNNNNNNNNNNNNNNNNNNNNNNNNNNNNNNNNNNNNNNNNNNNNNNNNNNNNNNNNNNNNNNNNNNNNNNNNNNNNNNNNNNNNNNNNNNNNNNNNNNNNNNNNNNNNNNNNNNNNNNNNNNNNNNNNNNNNNNNNNNNNNNNNNNNNNNNNNNNNNNNNNNNNNNNNNNNNNNNNNNNNNNNNNNNNNNNNNNNNNNNNNNNNNNNNNNNNNNNNNNNNNNNNNNNNNNNNNNNNNNNNNNNNNNNNNNNNNNNNNNNNNNNNNNNNNNNNNNNNNNNNNNNNNNNNNNNNNNNNNNNNNNNNNNNNNNNNNNNNNNNNNNNNNNNNNNNNNNNNNNNNNNNNNNNNNNNNNNNNNNNNNNNNNNNNCCCCACCCCCCUCUUCCAGGCGCCAUCUUGUGGGGUCUGGCCUCCAUCCUCCUGGUCACCCCCGUCGCAGCCCCCGUGGCGGGGGCACUGCCGCUACAGCCGCCGGGACUGGCCCUGGGUGGGUGGUUGGGCGGUUGGGUAGUUGGGUAGUUAGUGUGUGUGGGAGGGGGAGGGGGAGGGGCCAGUAAGGGUUAGAGUGGGUGGAAAGCCCCUCCUGGUUUUGUGGGGAUUGAGAUGGGGGAAUUGGGCGGAGAAGGUAAAUGGGGGGGGGAAAGAUGGCGGUUGUUGGGGGUUGUCCCUAACUGUCCCUAACGGCAUUUACGACAAGAGGGCAUCUGCGGUUGAACCAGACAGCGUCGUUUGACGUGCCGCGGGCCGGAUGAUCACAAGUUGUUGUCGGCUGUCAGUUGUCAGUUGUCGGAUUCAAUAAUCCAGCUGGCGUCACCGUCGGCCGUCGCCGUCGCCGCCACUGCCACCGCCACUGUCGGGGGGUGGGGGGGGUCGACAUCCGCCGCGGCUGUAGCACCCGACGCCGCCGCGGCUGCUCGCUAUGCGCCAGCUGCUCUGUGCUGUGCCUGUGCCUGCUAACCGUAUUUCCGUAUUAUGUUGCCGUACACACAGGUCUGUUGGUGUUCGCCUGCAUGCCCACCACGCUCUCAAGCGGCGUUGCACUAACCCAGGUGUGUACGACAGCUCACAUCACACGCCUGCCUGGAUCGUCGUACACAUCAUAACGGCGGCGCGCCUCUCUCCAAAAUUCCCCCAUGCCGCACCCAGAUGUUGCUCCCUCUGGCCCUCUGGUAAAGCUCAAUCCCGCGGCCGCCGCCGCCGCCGCCACCGCGGCCUCCGGCGGCGCUGCCGUACAGUACCUUUUCGGAGCCUCAGCAUUAUAAAGCAUACAUAAACCUAUACCAUGUUAAUCCAGCUCAAAGUCAGUCCAGAACUAAACCCUCCCUGGAGUUCUGCUGCAGCUUUCUCCUUCCCGAGCUCUCGUCCCCGGACUCCGCUUUUCAAACCUCCCCGCCCCGGCCGCCCUGCUUAGGUCCCCUCCCUGCUCAACCCCUUCCCUGCUCUUUCUUUCUCCCUCCUCUAUUUUCCUACUCUUCCCUUCCUUUCUCUUUUCAGUCCGUUCCCUCUUUCCAUCUCUCUCUUCCCCCCUCCUCCCCCUCCUUUCGGUCAGUUCUACGUUUCAUACACUCUUGCCCUGGCAGCAGCUUCAAUCGUGUGUGGUUCGUCUUUCCCCCCCUUUCCUCCCCCCCCCCCGGCCCGCGCUCCCCAACCUGUUGGUCCAAAGGUCCUCGGCGGCAACACGGCCCUGGCGCUACUCCUCACCAUCUCAACCAACAUGGCCUCAGUCUUCACAUUGCCCUUCGUGCUACCCUGGGCGAUGAAGGUGGCCACGGGGGGGAAACGCAGGGUUUUACGAGGGGGGAAUGGGGGUAGAAGGGGAGGGAGGGAGGGAAGGGUUGCCGGUGUAAAAGGGAGGUGAGCCGCCGUAGGAUUUCGGACUUGAUCCGUCCAAGCGGAUGACGGGUGACGGCCGCAAUGUCAGCGUGAGGACUGGGGUAAGGGGGGGGUUAAGGGGGGGAGGGGGGCUAAGAAGAUGCAGCUGGCUCUGCUGAGGAGGGGGGGGGAGUGUGGGGUAUUGAGAGGAGGCACAUGUACGGCGACAGGAGGCCCAUGGCGCUCGUUGGGUUCGGGCAGAACGGAGUAAUCGUUUGUUAGUGCCUGAAAUUGAAAUCCUCCUUUCGCCCACCUCGCCCGCCUCUCUCCGCUUUGCAUCUUUCCCCUCACCUCCCCUCGCCUCCCCUCACCUCCCCUCACCUCCCCUCACCUCCCCUCACCCCCCCUCACCUCACCUCACCUCACCUCACCUCACCUCACCUCACCUCACCUCACCUCACCUCACCUCACCUCACCUCACCUCACCUCACCUCACCUCACCUCACCUCACCUCACCUCACCUCACCUCACCUCACCUCACCUCACCUCACCUCACCUCACCUCACCUCACCUCACCUCACCUCACCUCACCUCACCUCACCUCACCUCACCUCACCUCACCUCACCUCACCUCACCUCACCCCCCCUCACCUCCCCUCGCCAUGAGAGACGACUCAGAUGGGCGACUACCUGGCGUCGCGCUUGGUUGGACACCAUGUGUAGGCGCACGUCCAGCGAUGACAUGCGUGGAUACUUAAGUGCCUGGAUAUCAUCGCUGGACGUGCGUGGGGUGGAUACUAAGCACCCGGACAUCGUGUUAUAUGCGUAUCGCAUCAGCAUGUCUCGCGUUCUCAUCCUUCCGGCUGCUUUCCCCAUCCCCAAACUGGUUUGCGCCUGCACAUGCACCUUGCCGGUGACAGGCAUCUGCAGCCUUGGGCGGCUUCGGCGCCUGCAGCGGCGGCGGUGCUGGCGUGGGGGCCAGCGGAGGUUUGGUCGUACAACUGGAUCCUGUACCGUUGCUGCUCCAGCUGGUUCAGUGUAUUUUGGUUCCCGCUUGCAUCGGAGCCGGAGUGCGCGGUGUUCUGCCAGGUGACUGUUGCAGCUGGGGACGUGGCGGUGUGUUGGAUAAUGAUGGUAAUGGUAAUAGUGCUCCCUUGAGCCCCCACGGCUUUUUGGACUAAAAUGCGUGUGCAACUCGUGCCUCGUUGACCCAAGAAUCUAGUCACGCCUGAGGCAGACAACUUACUUUUCAUUUUAUCCCUUUCCGAGCAAAAAGUGAUAAAUUUCGUCCGCGUAUUUCCUGCGUGUCUCAUCAUCUAGGUCUUCGCCGCUGGGUGGAUUCGAACCGGCGCACUCUGAGUGUCGUCAGCGGAGCUCUGCUGUCUCUGGUUCCCUGGAUGCAGGUAGUUCUGAUGUAAUGCAGCAAAGAAGAUUGCUUUCGGAAAGCAAGAAGAGGGGAGAAGAGGAGAACCGAAAAAACGAAAGAAAAUGGGGGCUUCGUGAGGGGGCUUCUGGACUCUUCAUCAUCCAACAUACAAAAACAAAAAGACAGAAAUGAUAACAACAUGAAUCCAAACGCGAGCGGCAGGCUCGGGGAGUAACGCCAGAGAAUUAGGAGAAUGCCUUAAAAUGGAAUAGGAUUAGGAAUUUUGUGUCGUUGGGCGAGCUCGGGAAUGUGGGAAAGGGGAAGGUGACCAAAUCCGAGGAAACCCCGGCCCAGGCGCUACUGUUAAGGGCGGGGUUUUUGGGCGACAGAAGCUGAAGCAGGUAUCUGUACGUGAAGGUGAAGAGGAACCUGUGCAGCGUCCGGGGGAAACCAGUACCCGUCGCACGUGCCACUGAAAGACUUCCGGUUCCUUGCUUCCGACGCGUCCGUGCCUUUGUCGUGUGUUCCGACUCGUCUUGCUGUUGUUCCUUGCGCCGAGACCAAGGGACUUUCCGCUGACUAUUUAGCACUCACGGGAGGACCCAUCAACACACAGACACAAACAGGGGACAUGCGAACGAGGGGCCGCGUUAUUAUUUUUGAGGUUUGCAGGAAGCGUAUCUACACACGCGCGCGCGCGGUGCGCGUGUGUGCGCACUCGCACGCAAUCAUAGGAACGCAACGGCCGCGCGCGUUAUCCCGCGCAACUACUCGCUUUUUCCUCGGGCUCCGCCCCCUGGUUGGUCAUCGUUCCCAAAGGUCAGCAAGGCGCUAUCUCAAGGUGUGGUUGUGGCCCCCGGGGCCCUGGCGGCGGCGGUGAGCAGCUCCCUCGUGCUGCAUGCGGCGUACCUGGCACUGAAUGCGACAGCAGCGCAGGUGCGUGUGUGUGUGUGUGUACGUGUGUGUGUGUGUGCAGAUGUCGGAUGGGGAGCAACGGGGGGAAGAGCUCAGCGAAGAAGGGGGUGGGAAGCUCGGGAAGCUCGGCUUUGAUGGGCAUGGAGGGCAAGAAGCGGGGUCCUCCCUGACACAUCGAAAGGUUUGAAACGAGACGAGGACAACGACAAGGACAAGAGUGCACGUGGUAGUGUGUGGGUGGCGUGUGCUGCCCCGCUGGUUGCUGGUUGGUACUUGUGCGGGAGGCUUUACACUCGCGAAUGCUGGGUAUGGUGCUCCUUCCUCUUUCGCUCCUGCUGCUGCUGCUGCUGUAUCUGUUACGCAGCUUCUUUUUCCCAUCCACCUGGCCUCCUAAUAAAAUCCAGUCCUCCUCUUCUCCGUCCUCCUGUUCCUUUCUGUCUCGCUUUUCCGCCAACAUGCUAAGCACGGCAGGCGAAACCACCAAACUUCGGAAAUCUCAAAAAUCUCAUUGACCGCAAACCUUGCAACUAUGAUCUGUCCAGGUGUUUCAACUGGGUGGUUCUGACCCACGGGUCGCUGCUCCCACGCGACGUGCGGUGGUGGUAGUGGCCAGCCAGAAGACGCUUCCCGUGGCGAUGGCGGUGCUGGGGCGGCUGGGGCCCGUGGUGGGGGCGGAGGCGGCUGGCUGUGCGGCCGUGACGGCUGUGUUCAGCCACCUAGCUCAGACAUGUGUUGACUUUUGGCUAGUGUCGAGGUGCGAGUGGGAAAAACGCGAAUGUAAAAACGUGAUAUAUAUGUAUAUAUAUGUAUAUGUAUAUGUAUAUAUAUGUAUAUAUAUACAUAUAUAUAAAUUUGCGAUGGAUUCCAGCUAUAUAUAUACAUAUAUAUACAUAUAUAUAUAGCUGGCCAGCUAUAUAUAUACAUAUAUAUACAUAUAUAUAUAUAUAUAUAUAGCUGGAAUCCAUUGCAAAUUUAUAUGCGGGAGUUGCUCGGUGGAAAGGAAUUUUGUUUACUUCCUUUCCCGCAUGCCUCCCGUCCGCCGCCCUUGUCCCCUUCCCUUGAUGCUCCCAUAAGUCCCCCAGCUUCCUCUACCCCGCUCCACUCGCCCCGCCACACCGUGCUGUGUCUUUUACUUUUUGGUUUUGACCUGCCAGCCUCCUCCCCCUUCCCGCUUCCCUUUCCCCGCUGCCUUGCCUUGAUCUGCCAUGGUUGACUUAACUCGACCCCGCCACCGCCGCACUGUUGUGAAUGUCACCACAACUAUAACCACUGCCGUCGUCACUGGCGCCGUCGCCACCGCGCCACGGACAUCAUCGCCAUCGCGACUUCCGCUGGUUUAUUACCGUACACUGACGCUACUGACGCUACCGCCGUGUCCGGUACACUGAUCGUCGUCAACUGCCGCUUCUGCCCACCUGCAACCGCCGCCGCCACCGACCGCGGUGUUGGGGGUGUUUUAUGUCCCCAGGUGGCUGGACCGCAUCAGAAGACGCGAAAACCAGCUGGCAGCGACAAGGCAACUGGGAUCUGCAGCCACGGGGCUCGACGGCUGUGCCACGGGGCUCGACGGCAGCAGCUGCAGUGGCGGCGUCAGGGGUGUCAAUGGCGAUGAUGGCGAUGGUCCCGCGGCGUUCCGACUGCAGCCAGGAGCUGGUUGAGAUCUUGGGGCUGUGGGCCUGCACGGCUGUACGGCUGUACGGCUGAGCUGUUGAUGGUAUAGGACUGCUAGGCGGGCCCGAUGGGACUACUUACCCUCCCUGUUUCCGAAAGCUAGGGACGGCGGCUUCAGGUUGAAAGUUUCUGGCGCUGACUCGUUGGAAUUGGACUCGCUUUUGUCUCAAUCAGCAAAUGCAUUGGAAGGGUUGUGGCGUGCGGCACUUGGAGCCGAAUUUUAGUAGGGUUAAGGGACGUCCCGCACCGCCGGCGGCAGCGGUGCGGGCUUAUCAAUUCUACGGCUGGGGUUCCUUUGCUUCUUUUGGGGCUGCUGGUAACGAUUGGUAGUUGCUAUAAAUAACAUGUUUUCUCUGGGCCAAGAGAGGCCUGGAGCACCCCAUGGCGCAGUCCACGAAUUGGCAUCCAUCGAAUUAGAAUACCUGACCGCUUACUUUCCUAUGAGAACUUGUUGGGCAGCAUAUGUGUUCCUUGGAUAAGGGGCCAGGAGCAGCGGUCGCAGGCCUCGCAGCCACGACCAAGUCCUAAUAAGCGUCGGCGUUAAGUGCACUAUCUCUGCCUUAGUAAAGCCUUAAUAAGGCGGCUCAUGCGCCUUCGGCUAGUGAAGCUUGUAACUAUCCAUCCAUCCAACCAGCAUGCAUACAGUUAGCAACCACACAACAUUCAAAAGAUGUGCUAUGUACCUUGCAAUGUCUCGGCAAUUCUGGAUGGCUUAUCGCGUCGGUUUAUCCACAGAUUGGGCAAGAACUUAAUGCUUCCGCUCCUUUCGGAGCGAACACGUUCGAACACGCAGUAGGUUUGUCUGGAUCCAUAAAGGCAGCUUCUUGCGUCUGCCAACUACGACUUAGGUGAGCAUCGCAUGACAGCUAAUAACUACUAAUGCUACUGUCGGCAAUCCGGUAAUCGGCAUUGUCAACUUCUCCGUGGAUUACACGUCUCUUUAUUCUGGGUGAGGCCGAUGUUACUGUAAAUAACAUUUCCCUACAAAAUCGUAAAAUCGUGAUCAUCACGCACUACUGGUUAAGGGGUUGCUUUAAAACGUUUGGAAAGAAGUUUGUAAACUGCCAAGGUACAAAGUCAUCGACGAUGGAUAUCGCUUUCUUUAUCGACUUACCCUCCGUGUUGGCCCGGUUUAGCCCACCAUUGCACGCCAGGCCGCAAUGACAGUCCAACCGCUUUGUAAGUCGCAAAGACUUAGCCUUCGACCUGCCCUUAGCGAUUAAUCACCCGAUGUAAAAAAACCUCAAACGUCACAUCCUGCGCUAAGCCCCCGUGGACCCAUGGAGGUCCUGUGAAAGGCAGUUGAGCCUUUUUUUUAAAGUCGAAAUGGCAAAAAAAACUCUGUACAGAAAACCGACUUAAGAGCACUUAGUAGCAUGUCAAGCAGAAGAAGCUGAGCGCGUUGAACGAGGGCAUAAACCCUCUUCCUGGCUGAACAAUAUAGAACAGUUUUAGAGCAUUGAAACAUCGCACAGCCCUCGUGACUGUGUCGCAUUCGAUAAGCGAUCUUUCAGCACGGCAUUGCUGGCCAAAUGUCUUCCCUCUGUACUCAUAGCCCCAAGUACACAACCGGUCUGAUACCGCUGAACUGUGACAUCCACCCACCAUCCCUCCGUGCUCCAGUGUCCCCCCGCAUCCCAAACACCUCUCCACAUCUUCUGCGCAGGAAACAAUACGCCAGGAAGAAGGUUCCCCUCGGACCAGCACUGUGAGCGACGCAAUGAGUCAGAACUCCGCAUGCAUAGAGUGUAUGUUUGGAACGUAGCUUGUUCCACCAAAAUUUCCCCGCCUUUCCCGCCUGCCUUACGUCUGGUAAUUUAUGGCGGUUACAAAUAUGUCUCCUUUCCAGAUCCCCUUCCUUCCCUGUGCCUUGCAAGUGCGGUUUUCCCUACCAAGCAACUACUGCCUUCAGGCGAAUGUGCAGUACAGAAAGCAACCCUUGAGCAGUUCCAUCUUCAUGGCUCCGCGUUUCGGUUUGCAGCAGGUUAGCAGGUUAGCAGGCAGGUACAGGGUUGCACACGAACGGUAUAAAACAAGACACACACACACACACACGUGCACAUGGCCCCUCUGCCGUGGCUCCAUAUCAGUUCCGCGCGCCACAAUACAACUCCUAGCACACGUAUUCCCGAAAGGACAAAGACAGUCCGAUGGAUGGAUGGACUACCUGGACCCCACCAGAACGUACUCUCGCGGGGCAACCUGCUGCUAGCCGCGCCCUCCGGCUGCACUCACAGCGCAAAAACACACGCCAUUUCUCCUUCACCGUCUUACCCCCUACAGCCAUCCUACGCGGGGCUUGGCCCCGUCUGAAGCCCGGAUUAAGUGUGGCAAAACGGUCUGGGGAACGGUGCAGCGGGUAAGGAAGAAGCCGCCUUCAAUUUCCUGUCCUGCCUUGGCCUCGUGGUGGGGGUGUUGCUGUGGAAACCCGAACAAACGGCCACCCCAUGUCCAGAUUGAGUUUACCCAGCUGCUAUGAAAACCUGACACGGCUCGGGUCUUACUCAACUGCUUAUCUUGUACAGCAGGAAGGCCUGAGGUCCUUCACUUACAUUUGCUCUCACAGUCUCAUGUUACGUACGGGUCGCGGCCAUACACACACAUAUGCAAAAGCAGUGAACGUCUGUGGCAGCUGCUGCUGAUACCUUCACUCCAAGAGGGAUGCCUUUAAAUCCAACAUCAUCUAAAAGGCAAAGUCCCCGAUGCCCCCGUACAUGUGUACGGCAUUCCGAAACCUGCUUUCAUGCCCGUCGUCUGGUGCUGUGAUGGCCUCCGAUAAUGAAUAGCCGCUUACUUACUAGUGCUACUAGUGCUGUACUUUAGCAAUGGUUUGAGCCCGAGUGAAACACGGGAAGGCAGGAACAACGUUGUCGUUAUCGCGAACAACGCUACAAAGAACGGGUAAAAUUACCAGUAGGUUGAUGAACUUGCGACACAACCAAGCAAUCCAGGACAACGGGCCCUAAAAGAUUGACCAUCAGGCAGCAAGUUAUAGCGCAUGCAACUGGCGCCGUAUGACCUCCGAGUGCUUUGCUGUACGGGGCGCUUUGCUGUACGGGGCGCUUUGCUGUACAAAAAACCUUGAAAGGGCUUAUUUAGGAGCCGCGGUACAGCUCGAACUUGGACUCAAAAUUGUAGAUGCCAACACUGGCCGCAGCCUUUUCGCAGUAAUCGCUCCACUCGGCCUCUUUGAGAUCCACAUUGUCGUACUUGGUUCCUCCCGCACUAACGACGCGCCAGUCGCCCUGAAAUUCCAAACACAAAAAUUCCAAUUUGUAAAACGCACAACUCCAACUCCAACUCCAGAAGCGGCCUGAGUGUCUCCCCAGCUUGACAAAACAUGAGAGCGCUUGCAGGCGAGGGUGCGGGUUCCACAACGGCGGGGGGCGUAAGGGGCUUGCAGAUGAGAUCACGGCAGAAAGAGAAACUGCCGGCAUUGAGGAUGGAUGGACGUCUGUUGCCGAUCCAGGCAAAACGUUUCAAACGUCAAACGUCUAUCUGUCUGUCUGCCUGCGUAUCUGCUUGUGCUAUUGCAAAAAAUUAUACAGUUUCACAUGUCGGUUCGAGUCAUUUCGCAGUUUCGCAUGUCAGUUCACUCGAUCAAUACCUCUGGGUGGAAGGCGAUGGGGUCCAGUCCCCGGCACUCAAACGCGAUGAUGGGAACAAACUUGCCAUCGUCGUCGGCUGCGUUGCGGCGGAAGCGAGAAUGGGAAUGGGCGUGGAGUGAGUCCGGCGGCAGCACAAAGCCAGGCGUGGGAGGACUGUACGGCACGGCACUACUGUUGUUGCGCACCUCCGACUUUUUGAGCGUCCAGCAGCUAAAGUCGAAUAUACGACCUAUUCCCAGCGCAGAGCCGGCCGAUGGAUUUCGAACAGGGGAGUCUGAACUUUUCAUGUAUGGAUGGCCCCUUGCUGUUGCCUUAGCUAUCAGCGCCGUACAGGAAGCCCUUACUCCCUCGGCGCUUACCUGUGUAAGGCCGAGUAACGCCCUUGAUUUCCUGCACGUUGAUGCUGGCCUCCUUCUUACUCCCUUUUGCAAACUUCAUGACCAAGUUUGCCGUUCCUUUGCUGCCCGACAGCUCAUGUUGCUCGGUCGAGGUGACGUAAACCCCUUUUUUCUCCUCAGAUCCUGCGCUUUCCUUGACCUACAUGCCCGUUUUAGUUUGCAACGGUUUGCAAAGUAGUCGGGUUGCCCGAACCACGAGCACCGGUCUUGGCAUUUGCAUUACGGCAUUCACAACUCUAUAACGAGUAGCUUACGUCAAGGCAAAAGUGGGAACUUGAAGGAAUUGACAGGCUUUCCACGUUCUCCAAUUCAGCCCGGAUGCUUAAGAGAAACACCUGUCGUCCAGGAUAAGUACACUUACAUAAGGAUUCGAGUACUAUAUCAUAAAGGGACGUUUGGAGAUAAUUAUGUGUCACUUGCCGGCAUCUUGUCUUCCCGGCCACCGCACCACGAAGCCCACGAGGGCGCAAUAAUACGAUCCUAUGCUAUCGGCUCGAGGUUACCACCAGAAGUCCACAAAACAAAGUAUAUGGCAUUGCUUGGCCUCUCCGGGCAACUGGGGGAAGGCGUCCGCAGGUAAGGAUGCGUGGCGUCGUACAUCGAUGUUGCACUCAGCUGCACCCAGCGACCCUUUUUUGCAGGGUCAGGACUUCAGGCAUUACACGGUCACAAGCUUGCCUCUGUUUACAUGCACCUACUAUGCAUUUGAAGGAUUCGCAAGGAACAACAGCUUGAAACAGCUUUGCCCUAUUAAAACGACACAAAGCUAUUGCGCUGGGAAAAGCCACACAGGAUUAGUACACACGCCACAAAACCCCGCUGCAGAUUCCUUCCAUCGUGCGGGCGUCGUCGUGCUGCGCCCGCGUGCUGCCCAAACGCAGUUGGCCGGUGACUGCUGCGCAUUUUGCCUUCCACGACGCGAACACGUGAUGCAAUGUUCCGUAUGCAAUGUUCCGUAAUGCAAUGUUCCGUAAUGCAAACCCAGCUUCUUGCGUCCAGAAAUGCACGCUUAAGCUUCAGUGGGCAGAUUAUCAACCUUUUUUAGGUGAAUAGGUGAAUAGCUGAAUACACAGGGCCAGCUGUCUAAUGGUGGUUCGUUGGUUACAGGUUGAGAGACAUAGACAUCUGGCGGACGUGUGUACACGAUAGGGUGCUCAGUUCUCAUUGAACAUGUCGUACACUCAUGUUCACUGCAUCCAGUGCGUUAUAAUUCUGUGCCACGAGUAUGCAUGUAUAUAUGUGUGUCUGUGUAUGCGUGUAUGUGAACGUAUGCUGUCACAGUGAAUCCAAAUGGAUUCUAUAUGUUGUUGUUGUUGUUGUUGUUGUUGUUACAUGGUCGUGGGUGCGUUCCCCGUACCUGCAAACCACCCUAGUACGAGCCAAGGGCUCAAGGGCUGCCAAAUCGCCUAUAAGCACCAUCCUACCUCGCACUUCCAACGAAACAAGUGAUGAAGGAUACUAACGACCAAAAGGAGCGAUAGAGUUGCGGUGGGACCAUAUGCGUUCCAGCAUCAUUGCCAGGCGUUCAGGUUCCCACUUCAUAGCGUCCUUCAUAUGCUCGAAGCGUGGAAAGCCCAUAUCAGAUCUGAUUUUGUCGUACACCGGACAGUCCAGCAAUAUGUGUUUCUCAUCCUCGAUAUGGCUAUCAGUGCCGCAGCAGGGGCAUGCUCCUCCCUAGGUAUAUAACGCCGUCCCUUACGCGCUCUGUUAGCCGCCAGUGCCCAACAGCAAAGCCUAAACUGCAUAAGCUUGCGAUUCGCUGAACGCGGGAUAAACAUUGUGAUAUGCGGGAGCACCUCCUUCCUGCCCGCUUGCUCGGCCGCCAGACCCAUCCAAUGCUUAUACUUCGCCGGAUUCUAUAUACCACCGGUGAAGAAACCUCACCCUACACUGCAGGGACCCAAACCAAACCCACGCAUACAUCUGUCUGUCUGUUUGUAUGUUUAUAUGUUUGUAUGCAUAUAUAUAGUAUCCACGUAUGUUUAAGUGUAAAGCUGCCGUAGGUUGCUUUUGCCUGUUUAAUGGUGUAAUUCACCAUUUCAACAAGGGGCCGCACUCUACACAGCCAACCGCAACUUUACAAGGAAGGGGAACGCUACAAUAAACAAGCGCAGCAAGUAGAGAGUGGGGAGGUACAGUUGGUCCUUGCAGAAAGAAAACUCCUUAUACUCCUAGUGGUGUGUGGCGCAGCGGAAAGCCCCGAUAAGGGAGGCAUCUUAUUGCCGUAGGCGACAGACCGUAGUGAAAACCGACAAGACCAUCAAGGCAUUCCGCUGCGCCAUAGCUAAAUGCGGUGGAGGGCAGCAUGGGGGCCGGCCCUUCUUGGCCGAAUGGGCAACGCUACAUGGAGCAAUCGGGGAAAGUUGUAGUUAGUUGAAAGCGUACGCGCGACAUGUUAAUAUGUCCAUGGUUUGCCUUAGGAUUUCACAGAUGUGAGCAGAAGGCAAGCAAACGUCGCAACGCCAUAAAACGUGCCAUGCCCGCGUAGCGCCCCAGAGUAACCCUUAAGUGUGGUUUGUGAAACCGGAGAUGUGCAGGCGCGUGUGAGGGUUGCCUAACAAGGAAUGGUUGCACGGUUGUCGAACCGAACAGGACAUGGGAUGUAGCUUAAAGUGUACAAAAAGUCUGCUUGGAUUCAAGUGCACGCGGUCAAAUAGAGUGCGCAAUGUUCUCAAUCAGCGGGCGUGAUGUGUCACAUUUGCAGGCACGGUGUUAGAUGCGGUUAGUUUCUAACGAGCAUCCGCUUCGGGUUCACCACAGCUACCUUGGCCACAAUAUUUGUAAUGAUUACAGAUUCUAGCGCACAUCGCGGAUUCUUAACCUGUCCAUCUUAGCGUGCAUACGAUGGCCAAGUUCGACUUCGAUAGCGCCCUCCUACGGCGUGAUUCGACCGUUUUCCCAACGUUUCAGCUCCGUUUCCUUGAGAUUCCAAAAUGGUAGCCAAACCGUUUUCGAAAUAUGUUUUUUAUUACGUGGGAAAUUGCUUUGCGAAGUAGGGACAAAAACGGAAACAGGUGAAUAUGCGGAUUGAGAGACAAUGAGGACGAUUAUAUUAUAAAGACAUAAGCUCCGUCUAAACGCUGAUCUGCAUCGUGCAUCAUGGCUGGCUUGCCAUCGUGCACUUUAGGGGUAGUCGAUCGCGGAACGAGCAUGGCGUUGUCUUCACAAGAUCGUUUACAAUAGGUAGCAAAAGAGGGGCAGGUAUUGAUGAUUUAAAGGUCAAGGUAGCAGAAGACAUUAUCCUGGCGGGGAAAGAAUGCAGGUAAAAAGCCCACGAAUUUGGAACGAGGUUCCGAGGUUCCGGAUCGAAAACAUUCAGCGGCACUUGCACGGAGGUGUACUAAGCCGAAAUCCUGGGAAGCCCAUUUAAGAUUCAGAACAUUAACAUGUUGGUAGCAAAUGUCUUGCAUAUCCAUUCACGUCCAUUCGUGCCUCAUUACGUUCCCGCAAUCUGCACUUUCCAAAUAGGUUUGGUAUUUAUUAUCAUGUAUGAUUUGAAGUAAGACGUUCACCAGCUUUUCAAUCCUAUUACCUCUGGAUCGCAUCUCUUGUCGUAUGACUAUAGUACGCCGGAGGUAAGGAAACAUGAUGGCUAGCGCGCAGAAACACUGUAAUACCUCUUUUAGUCUGCUAAUAAAGUAUUCUGCGUAUUUACUUCCUAGCGGCAUGGCACUAUGCAUUCGGACCCUUGGGGAUCAAUUUGAACGGCGGCCAUCGGACAACGUCCACAUACACCCCUUCAAUGCAUGCAGGUGUUUGAUUCCUUAAAACGUGUUUGUUAGUCUGAGCUGUGGUAACGCAGUGGAAGAUCCUCCCUGUGGAACUGGCGCAGUGAUGACUGUCCUCGCAUCGCUCCAGCGAUGCCUCGGGUUAGGAUUCCUCCAUGUGGCCAUAUACUUUGCAGCAUUGUCUAUAAGAACAGCAGGUGUUUUAUGCCAAGUUGUGGACAGUAACCAGCCAGGAAGCGCCACAGGUAGGCAACGACAUGGACAGCAUCCGCCGGCCUACAUAACUUGCUACCACCGCAUAAUCCCCGUAUGCUAAGAUAUAUCCCUCAUUCUUAUCCAAAGGCCGAUUCAUGAUCCUCAUGUCGUCACUACCGGUCGGUGACCUCAGCCAGUACUACCUCACCACGGAUGCCGGCAGCAUGUACAGGCUCGAUUUUUGUGACGGCCUGAAACUGGAAACCAUCGCUCCGAACUCUCGCGUCACAAUAUCAUAUAGCCGCAUCACCGACGGUGUGAUGUACUCGUGCCAGCAGCCGCAGCAAGUUGGCGUCCGGCGUGCGCUAAUGGGCGACACCCUAAGCACGCCAGACAAGCCCACGAUCUUGGUAUACGUCGUGACGCUUUGUGGCUACGACGUUGGGCCUGCGGCGACGCCGGAAGUGAGUUUUUCACCAGGCUGAGUACGGCAUCAUGGCACCACGUGCGAUGCGAACUGCUCCUGAUGGCAUAUUCCAGACGGCCGACCGGCCUGGGGGUUUACAAACGAUGCGGUUGCUUUCUGCGACUCAGCGAAGCAGCAGUGGUGCAUUUCUUAGGGCUCCCGGUAAUGGCGAUAGAGACACAAUUUGGACCACUUACUUGCAGGUAUUCCUCAGUGGUAACAUGUAUCUGCAUGUGUUGCUCAUAGCACCGUGUAGCCUGGGUACCUGCAAACAUGCGAGAGAUGUUGGCAUGUCCUCGGGGAGGAUGUGUCUCAGAGCGCUAGUGUGCUAGUCCAGUCCGCCAGUCCAGUCCAGUCCGCCAAGUGCGGGCGGACUUUUGGCUGCCAGAAGGAAGUUGGCUAUAUGGUUUCCGCACUGACAUAAGGAAUUGCGAAAUGACUUAAUGAACAGACUCUUACACCUUAACACCGAAUACGUACCAAUGUACGGCGUUGGAAGCCUGCGCUUACAUGUCCACAUGCGCUUCUGUCAAAUAGAUAGUAAACCUUGGCCUACCACAAGUUAAGCGGGGCUUGCUAGGGUUUUCAGUCAGUUCAGUGACAGAAAAUCGACAGAAAAACCUUCGCUUACCCAGCUUAGCUUGUUAAACCUACCGGUAUCUGACUAUGUGUUAUGUGACAUGGACGGCGAUGCGCCUGCCUGGUAUCUGCGCGCGCUUGGGCCAGGGAUCUCAGCCUCGCGCAUGCUGUACGGACCUGCAGGAGUUUCGCAGCAGGCAGCAAAAGUCAUGCGACGUUUCCCAUCUUCCCAUUUUUUCCCAACUCAAUGGAGGGGGGCGCAGUGAUGUCAUGAGAGGUUGCUUUACAGUCUGUUUCCGGUCUUAUUAGCGCAACCGGCCUUCCAAAGAUUUGGUACGGCUGGGCCGCUGUGAGGUUAGGGUUUGCCGGGAGCUAUGCCCAGCUGGUCAGCCGGAGACCGUAAUAAUAAUCUUGUCUCAUGCAUCCCGGGCAAUGCCUCUCACCUUCCUGAAUUCCAAAUUGCCGCCUCGUCCCCGACUCUGCUAUGUGCCUGCUAUGUCCUGCUGUUGCCCAACCCCGCAGCAAGUUACCAACCUACUCACGGGUGACGGAAACGGUCGUACACUCGCGAAAUACUACGACGCAUGCUCGUACAAGCAGGUCUCUUUGAACUCCGCGCAAGUCAAGGUGCUAGGGCCUGAGGAGAUCCCUUGCAGCGGCAGCUUGAAUCUGCCCUUCACAUUUCCCUCGGGCAACAUUUUCGACACCAAGUCAUGCAACAACGACAACAUGAUCAAAUGGCACUACUACCUCGAUACAGUGGCGGCACGUCGUGGUAUUACAGCCACGGACUACAAUCAUAAAGUGAUACUGCUCCCGCAGGGCUAUAUGGCGCUAUUCCCUGGUGAGUACGGCCGUACUGCAGGGUGUCGUACGUGCGCUUUGCACCGGGAGGGAAGUGGAGCGGCCAGGGGCUGUGAUUGCAAGAUGUGCAUUACAGUGCGGCGGGCACGGGUAUGCGUGGCAAAUGUAGUUGCGGUGUUGCUGCGGCUGUGGGGGCUGUGUGAGAUGUGUGUUCACGGCAUGCAGGGCACAGCGUCCAGUUAGUUGGGGCGAAGGCAAGCUAGAUGAAACUCUUUAGUAUCUCGCCCGGGCAGGGCUGCCGCCACACCGGCUGAUGGCGCCUUUUUUGCGCGUCCUUGUACAGUUACGAAGUUUGCCGGUGCUAAGGUAUAUGUCAUGAACUUACAUGAACUUAUUGGCCCGAGCCCUAAAGGGAUUUGCAGUUGAGCCCUGAGCCCCGAGGCCUCGGUCAAAAACAAAACCUGAGACCCCGACACACGUGCCUGACGUGAAGAUGUCCCGCUCCUAGCUCUCAGCUCUCAGCUCUCAGCUCUUAGCUCUUAGCAUGCAUCAAAAGGUUUUCUCCACUGACAUUUGCCACUACCUGGCAGCGCACUACAGUGCACGACGUAACGAAUUAACGGGCCCAACCUUCAUCCAUGCAGGCUGCAACGGAGUCUCUGGCUCGGCCUCCAUUGGGCCAUGGCUCCGAGAGUACAGCGAUGUCAACAAGUUCGGCACCGGUCUCGUCUGGUGGGCGGGUGACAGCUUCGGUAGCCUUGAAAUCUUGUUCCAUGAAAUCGGCCACACCUUGGGAAUGGCUCAUGCGAGUGUGCCUGAUGGCUGUGAUCUGAUCGACCAGUGCGACCACACCUGCCCCAUGGGCGCCAUCGGCGGCCAAGGCAUCCGCUGCCUCAACGCGCCUCACCUUGACCAACUGGGAUGGGGCCAGCCCUUCAGGGAUCUCUCCGACAAAGAUUUCCCCACGGGAGCAAAGCAGCUCCUCACCAUACCGCCCCAGAUGACAACUUCUCGAAGCUUUGUCCGGUUAGAUUUUAGCCCCCGGCCCGGCAGCAGGAAGCUGUAUGCCGCUGCGCGCAUCAACACACCGCCAUACGACCUGCCGUAUGGCAUUAACCAAAACGGCCAACCGUUCAUUGUCGUACACUCAUGGAACGGCACAUCCACCAACAAGUACGUACGCACGAUUUUGCUGGCGGACGUGGAGCUCGGGGACAUGUUCGUGGAUGACGUCAGCGGGCUGGUGAUUACCUUUGUCGAUUGGGAUGAUAAGAAGGGUGCAUCGGCCACGUUCUGCCGGAGGAAGGGCCCCAAGGAAAAGACCUGCGGAGACGGCAUCGACGACGACUGUGACAAUCUUGUUGACGAGAAUGACCCGGAUUGUGCCGGCAGAAUGCCAGGCGGCGCCCAAUCGGACAGACCGGUGCAGGCGCCAGCCACGAGGUCGCCAUCGCCACCUCCGCGCGGGGCCUGGGGGGGAGCUGUACGGCUGCCACCGCCGUCGCCACCUCCACCCAGCCCACCGCCGCCACCUCCACCCAGCACACCGCCGCCGCGGAGGCCCCCACCGCCUAGCCCAUUGUCGCCGUUGCGGCGCCCGCCAUUUAGCCCGCCGCCAAUCAAGCCGCCGCCACCAGUGUUUUUACCCACACCGUCGGUUUCCAGGGGCUUUCCUAAGCCGCCGCCGCCAUUGCAGUCAUCGAGCAUCGAACGACCCUUCAUCAUUCGGCGCCACCCAUCGCCACUGCCGCCCAGUCUUUCUCCGCCACGGCUGCAUAGUCGGAGCCCGCCGCCGCCAUCGUCUUCGCCGCCGCCUCCGUGGAUUUUCAAUCCGCGCCCGCCGCGGCCGCCACCUAAGGAGGGUUUCAGCUGGGACUUCACCUUGACAUGGUCACGUAGUCCUCCGCGGGGUGUAAGGAGAACUCAGGAAGUCGACCUGGCCCCGCCGACACCACCACCAGCAACAGCAGAAAGCUUAGCAGCAUUUUCAGCAGUAGCUGAAGCGGCUGACGCGUCUUCUUCCAGAAGAUCUAGGAAAUUGGAGUAGUCGCCAGAGGAAAAGUCAGAGUUUCAACAAAUCGGAAUUCAGGACCAUUAAUAGGCAGGAUUAGGUGAGGAGGCACGAAAAUAUCCGGAAAUAUGAGCUUACUUUGCUAGCUUAGCAAGGAGUUAUUUAUGCAAUGAUGCAACCGCAGCAUCGACGAUGUUAACUUAAGGCAGCUCUUGUUUAAGAGGGAGAUUUGGUUUCCUGGUACUGAAGAGAUACAUCUAGUAAUACUGCGCCGUUGAAUUGUUCUCGUCUGCUUGUUUAUUUGUUAUUUGUUUUUUGGAUGCACUUUGUUUUUCGGGAGGCAUAUUGAUUGCUUAGGUAGCUCUGGAUUGCGAUGUGGCGGGCGCUCAUGCAUUGUGCACCCUCUGCCUGCUUUCUAAGGCUGCCGUUCGUGAGAAGCUAUUGCUGUUCUGUCAGAGAGUCGUUGUGAGUGAUGGUGGUGAUCUUUGAGAUUGGGGCGGCAAUGGCAGAAGGUCAGUUCCUACAGCUCUUGCCGCCUGUUUCUUUAUUUGUCCGCACGCGCGCGCGUCUCUGCUCACCCAUCUGCCGUUUCGUCUGUUGUCCGUCCGCGAUCUGACAAGAUGGGACGAGGGUCUUGCGCAGCCGGAAUGACUACUGAGUGCAAUGGGAUGGUUGGUGUGGCUGCUCUCGACAGACUAACCGGGACACACAUCCCGCGAUGCCGAAAAUUUGAACAGACAGCGACAACUUACAGUGAUAAUCCGCUUCACGCCGCCGUGGGUGUGGGAGAUGUAGGGUAGGUAUUCAUAUGCCGGACCGCGUACAUAGAAGCUGGUCAUUAGUCGUGUGAACUUAGGGACGCAGAUACACGCCAAGCAAAAUCACUGUUGCAGCGUUGUGUCGGUGGGGGAAAAACAACACACAAUCACACACACACACACACACACACACACACACACACACACGCGCGCGCGCGCGUGCGUAGACAUGGAGAGCGCUGGGAGUGUAGUCCUUUGUUCUGCAGUGAACAAAUGCAAUGUUCCAAAUUGUUGGCGGCUUGUAGUGAUAGUUGUUGUUGGCAAGUUACAUUAGCUAAUAGGCGCGGGUUGCUUGUUGUUUGGCAUGUAGCGCUCGUUUACAGCUUUGCCUCCCUGCAUCCAGUGCAGCCUUAGGCCUUAGUUGGUGGAAAGCCAGUACAGGAGUCUGUGAAGAUGCCAGGCAAGGCAGAGAGUUGUGAUCUGCAGCCUCUGCAGUCUCUGGGUAGCGACCACGGCUACAUACGGAUGGCUAUGGUGGCUAAGUUCACUUAUUCACUGCUGCUGCGCCAACUGCCCGAUGCAGCGUCCCUAGCUAACGAGGUAGCUUCCAGACAGCCAUUCCGCCGAGGACUGAUAGGUUUGGCGGAGUGUCUUAUCUGCACCUCUUCGGCUAUACAUUUGAUGGGCGGGGGUGCGUGCAAGGCCGACGUACAUGCAGAGUAGUUGCAGGCUCGCGGAGAAUUGUGCCAGUAGUGUGCAGUGUUGUAGUAAAUAACAUUUCAACGACCCAAUUAAGUAUGAGUUGGCCAUAACAGCGCAUACCGCAUGUGUUUAUAAGGGCCUUAGGCAGCUUUACAGGUUAGGCAGUCAGUCAUCCGUCAUCAUCCGGGCCGACUUCCGGAAAGUUAGUUCAUUCAGAGUUCAUCCAUCCCGCAGGCGCCGUGGGGGCCUGAGAUGUUAAGCAUGUAUGUGUAACAGUUUUUUAUGGUCACCUCAAUCUCUGAUUCCGACGGCAUGCAACCGUGGAGCUAGAGGCAUGCUCCUUCCAAUCAUAGUGCCAAGUACGGCCCCUUGCAGCAGAGCGCGCGCGUACGUUGAUUAUCGAUCUGUUAGAAGACAGCUGACGUAUCGCCAGCACCGCGAAUGGUGCACAGGUGUCCUUGACCUUAGGUGCAGGAUGGGAAAGUGGAUAGUGGAAGCAGGCUUAUGUUGGGAAUGUUAGCAGUGGCGGCAAGGAUAGUAAGCAUUUGCUUCUGCAAGUACAGCAUUACGGGUGCAUGAGGCUACUUGCAAGCUGUAUGUAUGUAUAUGUGCAUUUAUGUAUGUAUGUGUGCAUGUAUGUGUGCAUGUAUGUUUAUAUGUAUGUAUGUAUGUAUGCAUGCAUGCUAUAUGUUUGCCCGGAAUUGUGCAAGGCCAGGGAAACGUUGGCCCCCCUGCUUGUUUUGUCACCUAUCUUCGCUGCCCGGACCCAGCUUUCCGGAGUUAUCUGGAACAAAGCAAAUUCCGCCACGUACUGUGUGGACGCAGAGGCAGGCGGUGGAAGCAUGAAGCGCGUGCGGGGGGGGAUUGCAACACGUCCCUCGCGGCUCGGUCUGACUGCAUGAUGAAAUCUGGUCACGAGCGUUAAAUACCUCCUCAUGGUCAUUAUAGUUUCUGGGCUUGGGUUAGAGCUACGGUGGAGUGUUGGUAGCCAACGACGUGGUAAGGUCAGGGGUAUGUACCGGAACGUAACUCCCGUGAACCGCGGGUUUAUCGCCCCGCCGUGUAGGGAUUGUCGUGUCCCGGCAUGUGCAUCUAAGCACCGCUGUGAGCUGCAGGCGGGCUGACGGGCUGUGUAGGUCGGCUGGUUGGCGCGCGAGGCUGCCAGCUGCUGAUCAGGUCGACAUUCAUCGGCCGGAGGUCAGAGAUCCGUGACCGAAUGGAUGGAACUCGGCCCCUGGAUAUGCGAAGAUAUGCAACAUCUUUGAAACAAUCAAGAGGGUGGUUGGCUCGCUUCUGCCACGAUAGCGCAUGCUUUCCAGUAGUUUUUAUAGUUGCGGCGUUUUAUCGUAUUAUUGGAGGCUUGUAGGAAUAGGAGGGAAAGGAAUGGAUAAACGGUUUGUACGGCGACUCAUGGCCGUGGCUGACAUAGCCAGAAGCAGAGAUGCAUUGGCUUGGGGGAAGGUGCCCUAGCGUGUUCCUUUUUUCAGUCUGGGCUCCUUAGGUACUUAUUAGGUUAUGUGGGGUGAUUUUUGCAUAUGUUAGCAGGUGCGGGCCCUAGCAAAUAUUUUUGGCGGGCUUUGCAGCAACUCCAUGUAUGUGAGCUAUGCCGGCAUCCCCGGCAACAGAUUUUCUUAGGGGCGGGGACCUGGCGGCGCGGCUUUCCGCCGUAAACGGGGACCUUACGAACUCCCCGGAAGAAUGUCUAAAGUUUGGGUAUAAGAAAUUGCGCAUAUCUGGCGUUACUUUGACCUUGCAUGAAUCAAGACAACAGUAAGGAAAUGCGACAUGUAUAAUGAAAAGCGGGAAUAUCGAAAAUGUUGGCAUCCGUACAUUGGCAUCCGAACCAUUUGCUAGGUCUCAUUUCCAAAUACAAAAUCCUCUACGUACAUAGAGUACAUAGAUAACCCCCUCGCUAAGUUUUUUAAGAAAAAAGAGGUCACAGUGGCACCACGUAGGAAGAGAGCACGCAAAGAGAUUAACCUGAAGAAAACGGGCGGCCAUGGAUCCGGUGCUGGAGAGCCCAACUUGGACGCGGCUCCUGUUCCAGCAGCGGACGUCCAUGAAGAUAAUACUGGCGCAGACUUUUCCAACAUAGAUGAGGAGCCGCAGGCAGAGCUCUCUGAUGACGAACACGGCCCACCAAAUGGCCCCCCAGAAUCGAAUUACGAAGCAGUUGCCAAAGUGUACCUUCAGCAAGUUGCAGCUGCAAGUAAAGCAAUGAGAGGUUUCCUCGAUGUUUGCCCAAGCAUGGCAGCGACUAUAUCUCGCCAAAACAGCACGUCACGCUGAUGCGUUUCAGGAUGUGUGUUUGGCCUUUGGCGGUUAAUCGACCGCACGGUAGGGAACGGUCUGCCCGGUGGUGCCGGGUCUGUGGGAACCGGCAAGAUGAAUGUCAUGUGCUGCUAGAUUGACCUGCGUAUGCGAAUGUCUGUUUGAAGCUUUGGGACCUGGGGGUUACUCCUGGGGACCGCAUGAUCGAGAUUAUGGGCGUCAAGGAUCAACGCGGGUUAGCGCGCGUCCUGGACGACAUUAGAAGAUGCAGGUUGCAGGUUGAAGAUUAAUCAAUCUGUUAUUGUUGGGUAUUGGCAUUUUUCUUUUUUGAGUUCUUGUUUCCAGUUUGGCGGUUCAUGAGCCUUUUGGCUCGUCUGGACCGUACAAGCUUGAAGCUUGUAAAACGUAAACGUAAAACGAUUCUCUUUCCGCAUUUCCGCCAAUCUGGGCUUCGCUGCGGAAAGCGUGACGAAACCUAUUUACGCAGGUUUCCGUUUCCGCAGGUUUCCGUUUCGGCUCGUUCCCUGGCUUAAAGAUUGUUGCGAAGCUGAAAAAUCCGGAUCUGGCAAUUAUUACAAAAAGCUGACACACCCACAAAGCAAAUAUUGAUCACAAUAUAUGCUGUAAUGUUAUAGUUAGUAAACGGGCGUUUGAAACGCGUGUGAGACCAUGUCGUAACUUCGGAGCUAGCGGAGCUAGGACUUGCGUGAACGACGAGUGGGUAUGUCGCGCGAUAGCCAUACUAUUUAACCGGACCAAACUAUGAAUAUUGUAAGUCUAAGUUGAGAUUGAAAUUCCGAUUCUUUGUGCAUACGCCAGCGUCUCGGCGAGUUAUGUCAGCUUAAGCUUCCCAAUUGCUAGGAGCGGUCUUGUUCCCUUUCACACGCUUAAUGAUCGAUUUCCUUCGACGUCAUCUUGGCAGGUUUGGGGAGUCCAGCGAUAGGUAGUUUGCACCUAAGGGUACAUUUCCAAUGCGGAUUAAGGCCAGGCAUUAGGGCACGGAAGUCCUUGGUACGAGCUUAAAACAUAGUUUUGUUCCAUAAGGGAACCAAAGGUUGAAAAGGCGAGGUAAGUUUGCCAAUAACUUAGCCGUUUGAGCAAGUGUCAAUGGAGGACAGAGGGUUAAUCCCUGGCCUUAAUCCGCAGUGGAAAUACACUCUAACACUCAAAAAGAUUCCGCAUGCUGGUAUAGAGAAACUCUCCCGCACGGAGCUCGAGGAUUUUAAUCUAUUCGCUGAGUACAUCCGCGGUCCUGGAAAAGGUCAGUGGUCGGUGUUGAACAAGACAAUCACCUGUCGCCCGACAGUUAUUUUAAACUUGCUAAAAGUCACCGGUGCCUACAAAUGCCCAGCAGGUUCUUUCUAUGCCCUUACACCGGUCUUGAUACGUUCGUGGUCGCAGCGACCUCGCCCAACUUGAGGGACAAUCAUGAGAACAUCAGCAAUAUUCACCCUUCGGGCGUCAGUCCUAAUACUUACCUGCAUUAGCCACCUUGGUCUUAUAUCCCAGGCGACAUUUGAUGAAUCUAGCGGGACAGCGAAGGGUAAGCUCUGUUUCCAAAUGGAGGCCGAAUUCCCCAAAGGCGUCGGCCAGCGCCAAUAAAUCGAGAAGCUUUAAACUCACGCCUGUGACUACAGGAAGCUUACUGAUGCUCAUGUCGUCUAUUCAUGGCGGUCAAGACGCUUCGAAGUAUUACCUGCGACAAGAUGACGGACAAAUGUACAGCCUCUCCUUCUGCAGCGAGUUGGGUCCGCUCGGCCUGGUAUCCAAUCUUCGGGUUCAGGUGAAUUACAACCGCAUUGAGGAUGGCGUCAUGUACUCGUGCCAAAUUCCCGUUCCGCUGGGCGACGACUCGCCGUCGUCGACGCCGGUAUCGGCGUCGAAGCGGCGCGAGCUGUUUGGACCCACCAUCUCCACGCCCAAACGCCCCACCUUCCUCAUAUACAUCGUCACACUCUGCGGUUUCAGUCAACCGGCGGUGGCUACUGCCUCGGUGAGUGUCAUGCGGCGUCCUCCUGUGCCUUCUAUCCUCUAAAGCCCUAGCAUCACUACGCUCGUGAACUUGAGGGUUUAGGGUUUCCAAUGCUCUAUCCAAUGCUAUCUCCAAUGCUAUCUCGUAAUCCUAUUUACUGCAGUGCUAUCUCAGUUGAUCGUAAUCCUAUUUACUUCAUGCCACAGCUGAGGUAACCGGAGUUUUAGAUCUUGUUGCCAGUGCCCCGCAAUCGCACGAAUCACUGCGGUGCAUGUAUGCCUCGCGACUGCUUUAAAUGGGAGGCCUGUUCGGGCUGGUUGUAUGCUUGUAAGCAACCCACUCUCCAUUCCUCGUCCCCAUCUCAAUUUAUAAACCCCUGCCACCUAACUCUUCCGUUAGCGCGUACCUCAUGCAGCUAUAACCCAUCCGUUUUCCUUCCAUCCGCAGAGAAUGCGGGACUUCUUCUUCAGAAACAACUCGAUUUCUCUUUCGGGUUACUACGACACAUGUUCGUACGGACAGAUUUCCGUGCUACCAGAGCAAGUGGAGAUUGUUACCGGGCUGGAAAUUCCUUGCAAUGGCACGUUGAACCUACCGUUCAGCUUCCCGACCGGCAAUAAGUUCGACACACGGAACUGCGAGAACGAUAACUUGCUCAAGUGGCAGUACUACCUGGAUGACGUCGUAUCGGACAUGGGCAUCACCCCGACGGAUUUCCACCACAAGGUCAUUUACUUGCCCCCAACCUUCGUCGGAUAUAGUGAGUCCGGGCCUUGUGGCUCAGGGGAAUCGUUGCGCUGCUGGCAUAUCUCAUACCCUUGGGCCUUCGGCUCGUAUGGGUAGUUUUACAGGUAUGGGGUCACACAACCCCAACCAUGUAUCACACACAUAUCUCAUACGGCUUUCCCCGCCAUUUCCCCAUAGAGCUGCCGCUGUUCCUAGGCUGUUCCUUAAGCGCCAUCGUGAUAUACUGGCUCCUUACUGCUAGCUCGCCAGCAAAUACCGCGCCUGGCCCAAAUCCUGGCACUCCAUGGUCACGCUGUGUUAUACUACGCUGUGCGAGUACAUUACACCGGAUGUAUUGGCCACUCUCCACCUCCUUGCAGGAUGCGACAACUUCACAGGCACUGCCUCCUUGGGCCCCUGGAUUAAAACUGACAGCAAAAUCAAUGAGUACGGCACGGGUCUCAUAUGGAUGGCCGGAGACGUGUUCCCGAACAUUGAGUACUUCUUUCACGAGGUUGGUCACACCCUGUCUAUGGGACACGCCACCAUCCCCAACGGCUGCGAUUCGAGAGACCAGUGCGACCACACCUGCCCCAUGGGGCCCACGGACGGCCAGGGCAUCCGCUGCCUUAACGCGCCGCACAUGUGGCAGGUGCGUAUUCGUCAUGGUGCUACGAACGUCGGGUUGCCGUACAUAAGGCAGGACGGCACGAUUCACGGUUUUUACGAUGUUAGGCAGGCGUGACGAAAUCAGCGGAUUGGACGGCUGCGUUCAUGGCUGAGCCGCCCAGGCAAGGGCCUUUUAUAAAUGACGCCUGCUAGCACGAGUGCAUCGCUAAAUCUGUGAGGGAGAAGCCAUCCCUCACCAUUCCGCAUGCGCAUCUUCGUUUUUUGGUCUCGUGCGUUAGUUGACUACCGGUAUUGUGUACGGUGUGCAGUUGAGAAAAGGUUUUACUCGGUUCCAUUGCUUAAAGCUUGCCGCAACGGCCAGUCCCCCUUCGUCUUUUGCAUACGCACUAUCCGGGCCGAAACACCAGCUCACGGUCUUUUCCUAGGGCUCUGGUGCUCGAUGUAAUACCUGCUACUACUAACAGUCCAAGCCUGCCGCAAGCCCUGAAGUCAUGCCUCUUGACUUUGGUAUCGCCCCGCCUGUUUGUUAUGCAGCUUGGCUGGAGUCAACCCAUGCGGCGCCUCACUGAGUCAGAUCUGCCGUACGGUGCCAGCCAAGAAAUCUUGAUCCCGAGACAAAUGUCCACCAAGGACAGCUAUGUGGUCGUGUCGGGAGUCAGGGGCCUGGUGCCAACUGACGCCAUGUACUUUGCUGUCCGCAUGAAUGAGUACCCGUACGAAUUGCCAUUUGAGGUGAACGAGCCGUACAUCGUAGUGCAUUCGUACAACGGCACAUCGACGGUGCCAUACAUGCAAACGGUGCUUCUGGGGGAGAUAUCCGUGAAUAACAGAUUUGUUCAUAACACCUCAAAAGUGGUCGUGAAGUUCAUUGGCUGGGAUGCCGUCCGUGGUGCCACUGCGCGCUUCUGUCGCCGCUCGAGCACGCGAGAGCAGACCUGUGGCGAUGGCCUGGACGACGACUGCGACUUUCUGCCGGACGAGCUGGACCCAGAUUGUGCCGGCAGGCCUGUUACCGGCAACAGAGAGAGGCCGCCACGGCCUCCACCCCAACGGAGCUACAGACCACCAACGCCGAGGCCGUCACCACCGCGGCCUGGGGGUUUACAAACAGGGUAAACAGGAUAACGGUUGCUUUCUGCGACUCAGCGAAGCAGCAGUGGUGCAUUUCUUAGGGUUCCCGGUAAUGGCGAUAGAGACACAAUCUGGACCGCUAACUUGCAGGUCCUCAGUGGUAACAUUCAUCUGCAUGUGUUGCUCAUAGCACUGUAGCCUGGGUACCUGCAAACAUGCGAGAGAUGUUGGCAUGUCCUCGGGGAGGAUGUGUCUGAGAGCGCUAGUGUGCUAGUCCAGUCCGCCAGUCCAGUACACACACACACACACACACACACACACGCGCGCGCGUGCGUAGACAUGGAGAGCGCUGGGAGUGUAGUCCUUUGUUCUGCAGUGAACAAAUGCAGUGUUCCAAAUUGUUGGCGGCUUGUAGUAUAGUUGUUGUUGGCAAGUGGCAUUAGCUAAUAGGCGCGGGUUGCUUGUUGGUUGGCAUGUAGCGCUCGUUUACAGCUUUGCCUCCCUGCAUCCAGUGCAGCCUUAGGCCUUAGUUGGUGGAAAGCCAGUACAGGAGUCUGUGAAGAUGCCAGGCAAGGCAGAGACUUGUGAUCUGCAGCCUCUGCAGUCUCUGGGUAGCGACCACGGCUACAUACGGAUGGCUAUGGUGGCUAAGUUCACUUAUUCACUGCUGCUGCGUCAACUGCCCGAUGCAGCGUCCCUACCUAACGAGGUAGCUUCCAGACAGCCAUUCCGCCGAGGACUGAUAGGUUUGGCGGAGUGUCUUAUCUGCACCUCUUCGGCUAUACAUUUGAUGGGCGGGGGUGCGUGCAAGGCCGACGUACAUGCAGAGUAGUUGCAGGCUCGCGGAGAAUUGUGCCAGUAGUGUGCGGUGUUGUAGUAAAUAACAUUUCAACGACAUAAUUAACUAGGCCAUAACAGCGCAUACCGCAUGUGUUUUAUAAGGGCCUUAGGCAGCUUUACAGGUUAGGCAGUCAGUCAUCCGUCAACCGGGCUGACUUCCGGAAAGUUAGUUCAUUCAGAGUUCAUCCAUCCCGCAGGCGCCGUGGGGGCCUGAGAUGUUAAGCAUGUAUGUGUAACAGUUUUUUAUGGUCACCUCAAUCUCUGAUUCCGACGGCAUGCAACCGUGGAGCUAGAGGCAUGCUCCUUCCAAUCAUAGUGCCAAGUACGGCCCCUUGCAGCAGAGCGCGCGCGUACGUUAAUUAUCGAUCUGUUAGAAGACAGCUGACGUAUCGCCAGCACCGCGAACGGUGCACAGGUGUCCUUGACCUUAGGUGCAGGAUGGGAAAGUGGAUAGUGGAAGCAGGUUUAUGUUGGGAAUGUUAGCAGUGGCGGCAAGGAUAGUAAGCAUUUGCUUCUGCAGGUACAGCAUUACGGGUGCAUGAGGCUACUUGCAAGCUGUAUGUAUGUAUGUAUGUAUGUAUGUAUGUAUGUAUGUAUGUAUGCAUGCAUUAUGUUGCCCGAAAUUGUGCAAGGCCAGGGAAACGUUGGCCCCCCUGCUUGCUUUGUUACCUAUCUUCGCUGCCCGGACCCAGCUUUCCGGAGUUAUCUGGAACAAAGCCAAGCCGCCACGUACUGUGUGGACGCGCAGAGGCAGGCGGUGGAAGCAUGAAGCGCGUGCGGGGGGGAUUGCAACACGUCCCUCACGGCUCGGGCUGUCUGCAUGAUCAAAUCUGGUCACGAGCGUUAAAUACCACCUCCUGGUUAUUAUAGCUUCCGAGGGCUCGUCAUUAGUUGGAGAGAUGGAUGGACAGAUGGAUGGAUUACUUGUUUCGUUGGAAGUGCGAGGUAGGAUGGUGCUUAUAGGCGAAUUGGCAGCCCUUGAGCUCUCGGCUCGUAUUAGGGUGGUUUGCAGGUACAGGGAACGCACCCACGGCAGCCACCAUCCGCAUUUCAGAUCUGCUGCAACAGGAUGAUAGAUAAGCAGCAAAUACAAGAAAUCCGUCACCACUUCCUGACAGCUUUCCUUACACUGCACUUCUCGGCUGGGUCCAGUCAGUGCUGGCAGGCAGGUUGGCUUCCAUGCAAGCCGUCUUUAGAGCUCUCCUCGCGUAAACUCGUACUUAAUGAUCGCCAGGCAAGAGAGCUGAAUGAUUUAUGAAUGAUGGAAUGCCUAUGGACUCAUUAUCAAUGGCUGACAUAGCCAGAAGCAGAGAUGAAUUGGCUUGGGGGAAGAUGCCCUAUCGUGUUCCCGUUUUCCGUCUGGGCUCCUUAGAUACUUAUUAGGUUGUGUGGGAUGAUUUUUGCAUAUGUUAGCAGGUGCGGGCCCUAGCAAAUUAUUUUAGGAUAAGUCGCAGCGUUUCCUUUUGGCGGGCUUUGCAGCAACUCCAUGUAUCAACGCGCAACACCUUUGUCGCUGGAGAAGCGUCUUCCUGUGCGGUGUAAUAUCUAACAAGCAGAUGUCGAAGUUUUACUGCAUUGCUACGACUGCAAACGCAUUCGAUGCAAUUUGUACUGCUACAGCACGUCCAGGAGCAACGCCCCUUGCAGUCGUUCUGCAGUUACGUAUUACUAGG